AUUGAACGCUGGCGGCAGGCCUAACACAUGCAAGUCGAGCGGAGCGGCGGACGGGUGAUUAAUGCCUAGUAAUCUGCCUGGUAGUGGGGGAUACCGUCCGGAAACGGGCGCUAAUACCGCAUACUAUCAGAUGAGCCUAGGUCGGAUUAGCUAGUUGGUCGGGUAAAGGCUGACCAAGGCGACGAUCCGUAACUGGUCUGAGAGGAGGAUCAGUCACACUGGAACUGAGACACGGGCCAGACUCCGACGGGAGGCAGCAGUGGGGAAUAUUGGGAAAUGGGCGAAAGCCUGAUCCAGCCAUGCCGCGUGAGUGAAGAAGGUCUUCGGAUUGUAAAGCACUUUAAGUUGGGAGGCGUUACCAACAGAAUAAGCACCGGCUAACUUCGUGCCAGCAGCCGCGGUAAUAC
rnacentral:rRNA from 1 species